rnacentral:tRNA from 1 species
GAGGGUGCAGCUCAGUGGUAGAGCACAUGUGUGGGAUGCACGAGGUCCUGGGUUCAAUCCCCAGUACCUCCA